CACGGUUCUAGGGGGACCUUUGUAGUCCUGUCCACUGUCACCUCAGCGGAGGGCUGGGUGGGCCGCUGGUGACAUCCACCCCCUUCCCUUCCCGUCGCGGGCCUCCUCAGGCACCGCCACAGACUGUCCUCCCCUCCGUGGCCGGCUCCUCGGCCGCCCAGUCCACCUCGCGUCGGGCCCCGCUGCCCACGGCCUCCAGUCUGCGGCAGCCCCCUCGGGGGCCACCAUCUUUGCCGUUGGCGUCGCCUCGGCCUGGUCGCCGCCCCAGCGAGGUAUUGCUCAGUGCCAUGUCCGCCUCCGGGGAUACAGGCGGGGCCCCGGGUGGCCAGGAGAGCCCCGUGCGCGUGGCGGGGGCGUGGGCCCCGGAGGCCGGAGGCGGCAUCGGGGUGGCCGUCGAGUCUGGGCUCCCCCGGAUGGAGGUGGUCGAAGUGGCGGGGCCCGUGGGAGGCCUCGGGGAGUUGCUGGUGGCCCUCGAGUCCGGGCCCCCUGGAAUAGAGGUGGCCCUCGAGCCUGGGCCCCCCCAAAUGGAGGUGGCCGUCGACUCCGGGCCCCCUCGAAUGGAGGUGGCCCUCGAGACCGGGAGCCCCGGAACGGAGGCGGCCCUCGAGUCUGGGCCCCCCCAAAUGGAGGUGGCCGUCGAGUCUGGGCCCCCUCGAAUGGAGGUGGCCCUCGAGUCCGGGCCCCUCCCCCGAAUGGAGGUGGCCCUCGAGUCUGGGCUCCCCCGGACUGAGGUGGUCGAAGUGGCGGGGCCCGUGGGAGGCCUCGGGGACGCUGCGCUGGCUCUGGGUCUGGGUCUGGCCCGCGGCCGGGAGGGCGGGAGCGCCGCGGCCGAGGAGGACGACUCGGACUUCGGGCCGGCGGAGGAGGAUGGGGCAGAGCAGCCGCAGGAGGGCCUGGACAACCUGGUGGACGCCCACCAGUUCCCCAUGGUGGGUUUCCGCUUCAUGUUCCUGGAACUGGUGCACUCGCUGCUGCGCCGCGUCUACUACAACGACCACAUCCUCGUGCGGCCCCCUGGCGGCCGCCUGACGCUCCGGCCCCGGGCCUGGCCGCCCCGCGGCCCCCGCGGGCACCCCGCGCCCCCCGCCGCCCCGCCGGCGCGGGCAGCACCGGCCAUGGCCCGCGAGUCCGAGGGCUCGUCCGAGGAGGAGGCCGCCUGGGAGACGGCGGAGGAGCCCGACCAGGAGCCUGAGGAGGUCCGGGCGACCACCAAGGGAACAACUAAAUAUCAGUAUGAGAAGUCUGGGGCCCACGACUCUGAAAGGGACGAAGGAAAAGACAAGUUCAACAAAAAACAAGAAGGACCCGACUAAAAAGCAUCUGCCCCAACAGAGAACAGGCCCAGAAAAUCCAGUUGGCACAUAAGAAAGAAGAUGAAGAAAGAAGAAAGAAUGUGUUGUUCAUUAUUUUUAGGUUUUUCAUUUUUUAGAAGCCCACGGGAAUUUCAUUAACACCGAUGUCAUUCCAAACUGCAUCACGCAAAAAGUGAUAUCCAAUGAAAUACGACUCUUCUCUUACGUUUGACAGAUAUAUUUGACAGCAUUUGUUCUAGUUAAAACUAAGUUUGUUUUAAAUUAAUACACUGGAAUGUAGGCAGAUUUUACUUAGUUAAAUUAUCUUGACUCAAAUCUCUCUUUUUCCUCUUUGUUUUGGCCCACCGUACCUUCACUGAAAGGUAUCACUUUCCACACCAUUUGGUGAGCCUAUUUUAAAUUAGUUUAUUACAGCCCCAAAUAAAAUAAAAUGUCAAGUUUAAAACACUUUUUGUAAGGAGAGAGAUGUAAGUCAGGUCUUUAGAGCUACACUGUCCACGACAUUAGUAACUACACCCACACGUGGCUAUGAAAUAUGGCUAGUCUAAUUUGAUAUGUGCUGUUAAGUAUACAAAUGUCACAUUAACUCACUGAUUAUUUCAUAUGGAUUACAUGUUGAAACGAUAAUAUAUUGAGCUAAAAUAUACUAUUAAAACUAAUUUUGCC
ensembl:lncRNA